rnacentral:tRNA from 1 species
GGGGUUGUGGCUCAGUGGUAGAGCACUCGGCUAGCACCCAUGAGGCACUAGGUUCGAUCCUCAGCACCA